UACGAAGGGGGCUAGCGUUGCUCGGAAUCACUGGCGUAAAGCGCACGUAGGCGGAUUGCUAAGUCAGGGUGAAAUCCUGGGAGCUCAACUCCAGAACUGCCUUGAUACUGGCGAUCUCGAGUCCGGGAGAGGUGAGUGGAACUGCGAGUGUAGAGGUGAAAUUCGUAGAUAUUCGCAAGAACACCAGUGGCGAAGGCGGAGCU
rnacentral:rRNA from 1 species